GCCUACGACCAUAUCACCCUGAAUGCGCCCGAUCUCGUCUGAUCUCGGAAGCUAAGCAUGGUCGAGCCUAAUUAGUACUUGGAUUGGAGACUGCCUGGGAAUACCAGGUGUUGUAGGCU
rnacentral:rRNA from 1 species